GAUGAACGCUGGCGGCGUGCCUAAUACAUGCAAGUCGAGCGAACGGACGAGAAGCUUGCUUCUCUGAUGUUAGCGGCGGACGGGUGAGUAACACGUGGAUAACCUACCUAUAAGACUGGGAUAACUUCGGGAAACCGGAGCUAAUACCGGAUAAUAUUUUGAACCGCAUGGUUCAAAAGUGAAAGACGGUCUUGCUGUCACUUAUAGAUGGAUCCGCGCUGCAUUAGCUAGUUGGUAAGGUAACGGCUUACCAAGGCAACGAUGCAUAGCCGACCUGAGAGGGUGAUCGGCCACCCUGGCACUGAGACACGCUCCAGACUCCUACGGGAGGCAGCAGUAGGGACUCUUCCGCAAUGGGCGAAAGCCUGACGGAGCAACGCCGCGUGAGUGAUGAAGGUCUUCGGAUCGUAAAACUCUGUUAUUCGGGAAGAACAUAUGUGUAAGUAACUGUGCACAUCUUGACGGUACCUAUUCAGAAAGCCACGGCUAACUACGUG
rnacentral:rRNA from 1 species